CCCAAACUGCUGGGAUUGCAGGUGUGAGCCACUCACUGUGUCCGGCAUAAAGUAGAACAUUCUUACAAGAAAUAAAUAUUUCGUAGUCAUGGAGAAGAACGCUCCUAAAAUGACGAACGCACGACGGAAAAGAGUAGGGAACAUUUUGCUUGAUGAGAAAAUCCGCCAGCAAGGAUGUUGAGCUCUAAGCAGAAUUGAAGCUCUGGAAUUAAGAACACAGCCAAGGAAAAGCUUUAGACUCUGUGUUUAAAGAAGCUUACUGACUUGUAAGGCAAUUCCAGGUAAGAUUGGUGAAUCAAGUUAAGAAUCAAAAGCAACUGAGAUCAACGUGGAGGCCUGGAAGGUAAGGGCCAUAUUUUACCUAGAUACUAGCUUAGAGACUUGCUACGUUGGCACUAUAAGUAUGUUAUUUAGUAGUAUUGUGAAAUCAACUGGUUUCAACAUUGAAAAGGAUAAAAAUAGCUUAUGAAAACAAAACGGUUUUUUUUUUUAAAA
rnacentral:lncRNA from 1 species